GAGAUCAUGCCCUCCGGGGUAGACCUCCCACCCUGUGUUAUUUACUUGCGUUGCUUUGGCGGGCCGCCCCCUCGGGGGCCCCCGGCUUCGGCCGGGGAGCGCCCGCCAGAGGACCCCAACUCCGCGUUUAGUGUCGUCUGAGAAAAACAAAAUAAGUUAAAACUUUCAACAACGGAUCUCUUGGUUCU
rnacentral:misc_RNA from 1 species